CCUUGAGUAGGGAGAGCCCCCUACCAACAGAAGCCCCUUCCUCACAGAACAUGCGCAGUAAAAAAGGAGGACACUGCGACUUUAAGUGGAGGUGAGACUUGCGAGAACCAAUAGGAACGAGAGUAACUAAGCAAAACUGUAAAAAUACUGAUAACUGUUGCUUGAAAGGUAUAAAAUGCUUUACCAUGUGUCAACCAGGUGUGCUAGCUUUGUGGAGUUACCACCUAGCACCCAUCUCUGCGCAGACAUGAAAUAAACAAAUAUCUCGGCUCUGUGUGUUAAUUGGCUUUUUUGCACACCGGGUGAAAGAAUCCUGAUUUUUGGGACAACACUAACACCUGAAGGAAACCACCUUGUAUUUUAAGAGUUUAUUUACACAAAAAGGUCUACCUAUCAUAAUCCCAUUAAAAAAUACAGGUUUGAUUAAUAAUUGUUUACCCAAUUAAAGGCUUUCUUGGCUUAACUGGAAAACAAAGACAUAAUUUGCCUAUAAUACAAAUCAGAUUUUAUGUAAAAUAUUUGUAUCGAUUUUUCUCUUGACACUUCACUUUGCUCAUUUAUUUUUCAGCAAAUCAAAUAACCUGCUGAACCAGACUGAAUGAAGAGGCCAGCUUUUCUCAUGUAUUUGGAGACCAAACGAGCAAGUUAACUUUCCCUACUGGGUUACAUUGCCAAGUGCUGGAAUAAAAUGUACGUGGAAGGAAGAGCAGAAAAAAAAUGUUUUUGAAAAACAAAGGAUGGCACAUUUCAGAGUAUUGUGUUUAAAGCAAAACAACAAUUACGUGGAAAAUGCAGGCUAAGGAGUCUUCAGAAGAAGCAAUUCUUCAUUUUUAGUCAUUCUUGAAUUCCUUCAACCUCGACCCCAUUCCAUAGGAACACCAUGGAUUUAUAUAAUGGCAAAAUUAGGCUCUCUUCUAUUCUCCAUUCUAACAUUUUCAUAGAAGUACUACAACCUCAAGUUCUUGUUCCUAAGUGGCAAGACACAGUUCAUGUUUAAUGAUUAUGUAGAAAAAUAUAAUUUCCUUCUUCUCCCCAAAUCUUUCCAUGUCACUUUACACUUACAUGAAUGGAAAUUUCAAGUGCCAUUUUAUCACUGUCACUACGUCUCAGAAGGUCUUUCUGCUUUUCUUGGUUCCUAAGUUCGCUUCUAUGCUUAUUCUGAAUGAGCUGUUAUCAGCUGCAGGCUUUCUUAUCCUGUUAUUCACCUUAUUUUCCUGAUCACUUGCGAAGAUACUAAAUAAUGACAUGUUCAAAACUAAAUAUGUAACAUUUACAUAAUGUAAAUACAGAUAGCAUAUGUAGGAAAAAUACACAGAUGUCUGCAGUGCUUUCUGUUCAUCAACUUAAAAAUUGUAUUUUAAUUUGAAAACUUUCUACUUGUUACACUACCAGAUAAUACUCUUUAGUUCAGACAUGAAAUAAAGGAAAAUCUUUUAUUUCAACUUCAUCUACUCUGCAUUUGAAAGUAACUGAAUUACAUUUACAAUCAGAGUAAGUUCCUUCACAGUGAAAAAAGGAGAAAUACUGUUAUAUCAAAAUGCAUCUUCCCACUAAUAUUUCCCAGGGGCUUGCACUGUCUUCUCUGAAUUGAUAACUAUUCAACAACUGUAUUAUGUCAAGAUUAAUAACAAAACCAAGGUUCACCAAAGAUACUUUAACGGCACACUAUCCUAAAACAUGUUUCGUGUUUUUUUUUAAAACCCUGUAAUCUUCUCCCCAACAGUAAUAUUUCUGUGCAACUUUUCUCCAAUUCCACAUUUUAAUAAUAAAUCUCCACAAUUAUUAAUGUUUCCUCUGUGCUCAUUGUUUCUGAAGUAAUGUAAUUCAACAGAAAGUAAUGACAAAUAAAGUAACUAAGUAUAUCUAAAGUAUACUAGGAUAAAAUGA